UACGUAGGAUGCGAGCGUUGUCCGGAAUUACUGGGCGUAAAGAGCGCGUAGGCGGCACGGUACGACCGGUGUGAAAGCCCCCGGCUCAACUGGGGAGGGUCACCGGUAACGGUCGAGCUAUGAGUGCAGGAGAGGGAAGUGGAACUCCGGGAGUAGCGGUGAAAUGCGUAGAGACCCGGAGGAACACCAGUGGCGAAGGCGGCUUCCUGGUCUGCGACUGACGCUGUGGCGCGAAAGCUAGGGGAGCAAACGGG
rnacentral:rRNA from 1 species